GCGCCCGUAGCUCAGCCUGGAUAGAGCGUUUGCCUCCGGAGCAAAAGGUCCCGCGUUCGAAUCGCGGCGGGCGUACCA
rnacentral:tRNA from 1 species